AUGGAAACCAAUGCUGAUGAAGAUGAUAAAGGUUUUGAGUUGUUCAGUUCAGGGACGGGUGAUCUUUAUUAUCAGAGUAAUGAAUUAGAUCCAUAUAUCAAAGAUAAGAAUGAAGAGUAUGAUUCUGAAGAUGUUGAAGACAUGAUUAUUAAUCCAACUGAUUCUGUUGUUGUUUGCACGCGUACGGAAGACGAUGUCAAUUACCUUGAAGUAAGUUAG